UACGAAGGGGGCUAGCGUUGCUCGGAAUCACUGGGCGUAAAGCGCACGUAGGCGGACUCUUAAGUCAGGGGUGAAAUCCUGGAGCUCAACUCCAGAACUGCCUUUGAUACUGGGAGCCUUGAGUUCGGGAGAGGUGAGUGGAACUGCGAGUGUAGAGGUGAAAUUCGUAGAUAUUCGCAAGAACACCAGUGGCGAAGGCGGCUCACUGGCGCGAUAAUGACGCUGAGGUGCGAAAGCGUGGGGAGCAAACAGG
rnacentral:rRNA from 1 species